rnacentral:rRNA from 1 species
CCUACGGGUGGCUGCAGUGGGGAAUAUUGGACAAUGGGGGGAACCCUGAUCCAGCCAUGCCGCGUGUGUGAAGAAGGCCCUCGGGUUGUAAAGCACUUUCAGUGAGGAAGAACGCCUGGUGGUUAAUACCCAUCAGGAAAGACAUCACUCACAGAAGAAGCACCGGCUAACUCCGUGCCAGCAGCCGCGGUAAUACGGAGGGUGCGAGCGUUAAUCGGAAUUACUGGGCGUAAAGCGCGCGUAGGUGGCUUGAUAAGCCGGUUGUGAAAGCCCCGGGCUCAACCUGGGAACGGCAUCCGGACCUGUCAAGCUAGAGUGCAGGAGAGGAAGGUAGAAUUCCCGGUGUAGCGGUGAAAUGCGUAGAGAUCGGGAGGAAUACCAGUGGCGAAGGCGGCCUUCUGGACUGACACUGACACUGAGGUGCGAAAGCGUGGGUAGCAAACAGGAUUAGAUACCCUAGUAGUC